CAAGAACAGGGUUGGGCUGCCCUGCUUUACGUGAUACUCUUCAUGAAGAUCUGUUGUCCUUUGUUUGCAAGAAAUGAGAGCACAGAUGUUUGGGUGCCUGUCUGUUUCUCUCUCAGACAGGGGAAUUAGUUCUUCAGCUAUUGAUGUGACUGACUCAGGAAAAUCUGAAGACCUGGAGGACCAGCUGAUGGAAGUCUUUGAAAGCUGGAGACGCAAACUCAGAGAGCCCCCUAUCUUGAAAUCAUUUGAACUCUUCUACAAAUAAAAGAAAACUCUAGGGUGGGA